rnacentral:piRNA from 1 species
UACAAGGUGCACAAAGCUUGUGAGGUCAGG